ACAGGGCCGCGCCGACCCUACGUGCCGAGGCCGACCCAAAGGUCAGAAGUUGGUAGUUUGUGGCUAGCUGACUAGCCUGCGGCCAAAGGCUGCGACUGCCCACCGCCCCAGGUGAGCGCGCGCUGCUUCGUCACUUCCGGCCACAGGUGCGCCGGCACGGAAGGCGCGCGCGGGACCCGAGGGCCAACUCUCAGCCGCCCCCGCCGGUGGGAUCCUUCAAGGCAGCCAGAUGCCUGAGGCGAGGCCGUGGGUGCCUGUGAGUCCGAGCGGGGCCCAAGCAUCCCCUGCCCGACGUUUAGCUCAGCCACCCGAACACUCACCCCAGGGCCGCGCGGACACCCGUACGGAAAUGUAGAAGCCGCCACCGCCACCAGCCGUGGAAGCCAGACUGCUGGCUGCGGCGCAUGCGUCUUCAGUCGGCCUAUGUGGUGCUAGUCAUGUGUCUGGCCCUUGGAAAGCAGAAGAAUAAAUGUCUGAGUCUUUGCUCAUGUCCUGCUCCUUGGUGGUGAUGGAUAUUCUACAAGUCCUCCAUGAUUUAGCUCAAUUCAGCCCUUUCAUAAAGCCUUCCUGACAUCCAACUUCAA